rnacentral:misc_RNA from 1 species
GUGACAUGCACCUACGUCGAGGGAAGUGAAACAACAUGGGUUAUCCAUCCAAGUAAAGGAGUUCUCUGAGAUGCUGCGAUGAAUGCAUAAACGAAAUUUUUAAGUACUCUUAAAGAGAGAAUCAUACAGAGUGAGUUGUAAUGCGGUGAACCAAGGAACAGGAAACUCAACUACUGCCAGGUAAUCUCAGAUUAUAUCACUAAAUAGAGGUUUUCAAUUUUCAUAGAUCUUGCAUGCUUCUUAGCUCUUGUUAUGCUCACUUUUUUUUCCCAUAAUUUUUGGAUUUUCUUUUGAAUUUGUGAUGUUUGGUUUGGUACAGUUCAUUUUGUGGAUGAUAUGUUCCUUUAGUGGCCUUAUUCCCUUUGAUAUCUCGAAAUCUUAGCGGGUUUCUUGCAUGGGUUUUUCCUUUAAUCUAUUUUGCCCUCAAAAUUUGUGCUCUUUUUAUGGGUUUUAUCUGUCCAGUAGAGCUUGAAAUCUAUCACAUUCUUAAUGAUUUUAGUUCCUUUUCUUUUUUAAUCAUUAUCCAGUGCUUUGGGUUUUCAGUAUUAUUUGAUUUUCUUGAAAAAAAAAAGGGGUCUCCCACAAUUAAAGGGGACUUAUGGCAAUUCAUUUGCAUUUUGCUAAUGCCAUGUAGUUAUGUUCACUCUUAUGUGUUCUGGGCUUGUAAUAUUCAAUUUCUUGAUAUUCAAUAUGUGUCUCUUUGUUUAGUUUUUGCAUUCUUUUGGAAUUCAUUUGCUAGAAAAUUUGCUUUCUAGUUAAUUAUUACCAUGUAUCAUUGAGAACUUGUGAGGGAAAUAUUUUGUUAAAAAUCCAAGAGUAAAUUUGAGAGGAAAUUACUGACCUUUUUCAUUACUAGGAUGUAAAUUCAACUCAUUUAUAUUGCAUGGAUAUCCUCCAAGAGGUAAAUAGCACAUAUCAAGUUUGUGUUGUCCAUAUGCAAUAUGGUUCUAUAUAUAUAUAUUUUCUUUCAGCCACCCAGAAGUGGUUCAAUUACUGAAACUAACAAUGUUGAAACUUCAUUGUGUAGUUGAAAAAUAUGAAACGGUUAAUAAUUCUGAGUGUUCCAUGAGAUUUUUGGUAUGCAAGAGGUAAAAUUUACCUUUCUAUCUGUUUUACUCAAUUAGUUCGGCUAGUUUGGAUUUUGUCAUUUAAGUCCUGUUUAUGAGGAAUUUACUUGUAUUGCUUUUAGCUUGAAUAAAAUACCCUUCUAUUUGAAUAUAUUCUAUUAAUUUGUUAAUGAGGAACUGCUGGAUUUCAUAUGGCUAUUACAGUUUGUUUGCCUCUGCAAAAUGUGUUGAUUUUACAUACUGUUUUGGCUGACAUAGAUAUGAAUACCUGUCAAGUGUUAGGAAUUUGAUUUUCUACAAGCAGUGUUCUAAUGUACGUGCAGUGCUUAUACAUCUAGCAGUAAAGUACAUGAUGGGUACAUACUCCAAUAGAAGCCAUAUCACACCAGAAACUAGCACAGGGGCAUCUGUUCCACAUUUUUCCUGGUUUUAUUCUAGAAGUUUUUACUCUGCACCAAAAACCAGCUCAAUUCAUUCUCAAGGAACUCAAAUUGAUUCACAACCAGGUCUACCUGUUGCUCCUAUUUGUUCUGUUGCUCCUACAACUGAACCAGCAAAGAAUAAUAACUCAGGAACUAAACCUGCAAAGGCUAGGAAACAGAAGCCUUCUUUAAAGGGUUCUAACCAAAUUUCAUCCAAAACUUUGAAGCCAAAACAACCCAAAAAGACUUCUUCUAAAAAGAACGGACAUAGCAUGCCUGAAGCAAUACGUGAAAAAAGGAAUCUCAAUGUUGAUAUCGAUAGAAUGAACUAUGAUUUAUCUGGGGUGCCAUCUCCAUUUUGCUCCUGCACAGGCAUGCCUAGAGUUUGCUACAAAUGGGGUGCUGGUGGAUGGCAGUCCUCAUGUUGCACUAUUAGUAUAUCUGAAUAUCCUCUCCCCAUGAGUUCCACAAGGCCUGGGGCUCGCAUGGCUGGGAGGAAAAUGAGUAAUGGAGCAUAUGUGAAACUUCUGCUGAAACUGGCAGCUGAAGGUCAUGAUCUUUCCCAUCCAGUUGACUUGAAGGAACAUUGGGCUAGACAUGGUACUAACAAGUUUGUUAUAAUCAAGUAGAGACGAGGAAAGUUGGCAGUUAGAUAUAUAUAUCGAUUACCAGCUAGUAUAAUUCCUAUCUUUUUUCUGGUAAGUUGUAGUCUAUUAUAAGGAAUGCCUCUAUGUAGUUUGUAAAUAUGGUUUCCGUAGCACUUGCUUAAUAUCUAGAAACCUUAUCCUUUCCCCGUAAGCUGUGCUUUGCACACAGAUACCCAUAUUUUGGGUAACAUGCUUAUUUUGGCAACUGUUCAGUGCUUCUGAUUCAGUUUUUAGUUUGCUAGCAUCCUGUGUAGUAUUUAUCAAAGGUUGGAAACUUGAAUAUCCAAAUGUAAGUUGCAACUGGACUGCCUUAGUUUGUGUUCUGAAGUUCAUCAAGCUGGUAUACUGAAAAUGCUGUUUAAAUCUUCAAUAGAAAGGUCUACUAUCUUUCAUGCUUGCUUAGCUAAAGAAUCUGCAAGUAAAAUAAGAUUAAGGGCAUAUCAUUAUUAAACACAGUUAACAUGGAGAUUCUAUUGUUGUCAUUUUU